rnacentral:rRNA from 1 species
AUGUUGUCUUGCAUUUAUUCUACUUUGUUGCACCGCCAUCUUCUUAGUUUACUCAUCAUAUAUGUCGAGAUGCCAUGCCCAUACAUUAUCAAUACAUAUUCCAUCUGUCAUCAUACCAUGUUUUUCCACUCAAAUGUUGUUCUGGUGCAUCAGACAUCAAAAAGGAAGAGGGUGAUUGCCGAACCUGAAGGAGCACCAGCAAAGCCCUUGAAAAACGUGGUGGUGCCGGAGAAAUCAGACAGCACCCCACUUAUAUUGGCUGUACAACCACUGACACAAAACGUAGGACCGACUCCAGCAGACUGUACCCAUACUUCACUGGCCACACCACUAGCCCCACCACACAGGACCUGCACUCCAGCAAAAGGUAUACCGAUUUCAUUUUCCAUAGCACCAGCUGUACCAUAG